GUACUCGCUUUGGCAGCACAUAUACUGCAGAAAAAUUGGAUUGAUACAGAGAAGAUCAGCAUGGCUCCUGUGCAAGGAUGACAUGCAAAUUCAUGAAGUGUUCCAUAUUUUU
rnacentral:snRNA from 1 species